rnacentral:tRNA from 1 species
UAGCUCAGUCAGUUAGAGCGUGGUGCUGAUAACACCAAGGUCACGGGUUCGAGCCCUGU